rnacentral:rRNA from 1 species
GAUGAACGCUGGCGGCGUGCCUAAUACAUGCAAGUCGAGCGAAUGGAUUAAGAGCUUGCUCUUAAGAAGUUAGCGGCGGACGGGUGAGUAACACGUGGGUAACCUGCCCAUAAGACUGGGAUAACUCCGGGAAACCGGGGCUAAUACCGGAUAAUAUUUUGAACUGCAUGGUUCAAAAUUGAAAGGCGGCUUCGGCUGUCACUUAUGGAUGGACCCGCGUCGCAUUAGCUAGUGGGUGAGGUAACGGCUCACCAAGGCAACGAUGCGUAGCCGACCUGAGAGGGUGAUCGGCCACACUGGGACUGAGACACGGCCCAGACUCCUACGGGAGGCAGCAGUAGGGAAUCUUCCGCAAUGGACGAAAGUCUGACGCAGCAACGCCGCGUGGGGGAAGAAGGCCUUCGGGUUGUAAACCUCUUUCAGUAGGGACGAAGCUUCCGGGGUUAAUAGCCUACGGGGUGACGGUACCUACAGAAGAAGCCCCGGCUAACUACGUGCCAGCAGCCGCGGUAA